GCGGCCUCUCAGCACUCGCCCGGGGGCCCGCCCGAUCGCCACGCAGGCACCUGCCACCGCCGCCGCCAUACGGGUCGGAGAGGCUGUGCGCCGCUCCCAGGGGAGAUCCGGUUCCCAUCUGGCCCAGCCCGCCCUGCCUUGUCCUGCCCGCAACUCCGGGGCAGCCUGACUCGAUUCCGGGUGUCCUUCAUUCCUCCUCCCAAAAUUGAUGGUGAUGCUGAGCCAGCCCCAGAGGGAGGGGCCAGCUGUAGGCUGGGGUGGAAGGAAGUCUCCUUGGACAGCACUGGACAGACGGACAGGUGUGCCAGCUGCCCUGCCCCACUAAUUCUAGCCCAGCCUUGGAACUUCUGCAUGUGGAGGCCACUCAGGGUCUAUGUGAGAGUGGGGGGGCUCGGAAGUGGAGGCCCUGGGGGGAGCUCAUACCCAGGUGCUAAUCCCCAUCCGGCCAGGGCAGAACCAGGGCCUCACUGACCUUCUUGGAGAUUAGUCCCCAUGGCGACAGUGGCAACUCGCCCCUUCACUCUGGCUCGGCCAGAGGGAAAAACUGAGAAGUAGAGUGCAAGUUCAUCCAACUCAUAAACAGUGGAGCUUUGAUUUGAACCCAGGCGGCAGUGUGACUCCAGAGCCCACACUCUCAACCCUUUGCUGUCUGUAUGCUCAUGGGGACAUGGAGCUCCAGCUCACCACGUGCGGUUCACUCACUCAUUCAAGUUUCAUUGAGUGCCUACGAUGUGUCCAAUGUGCCCUGUGUGAGGUUUGAGGAUAAAGAUUGAGAACAUGGCUGACACAGCCCCUCUCCCCUUAAACAGAGCUGACGCUCUGGUAUAAAGAAAGACACUCAGUACACCCUUAAACACCCAUAAACAAAAGGUGAAAAAGAACUUUAUAGAGUGAUAAACAAUAUAAAGAAAGCAAGGUGAUAUCAUGGACGGUAAAUGCCAGGAACAGGGUCACCCAGGAGGUAAUAAAGGAGCCAGCUGUGCCAAGAUGUGACUGAGACACUCCAGGAAACAGGAAGAGCAAAUGCAAAGACUCUGAGGUGGGAGCAAGCACUGGGAUUGGGAACAGGAGCCUAGGACCAUCAGUCAAAACAGAAGCCCAGGUUCACAUCUCAGUUGGGCCACUUCUCAGCUGUGACACCUCCUCGCCAACGUUCCGGAACGCUUCUGGGUCGCCGCAUCUGUGAAAUGCAAGGCAGUCGCGGCGCCUGCCUCAUCGGCUGGGGGCGAGAAUGAGCUGAGCGCACGCACGUAGAAGCUCUGAGCAGAGCGCCUGGCCUGAACUUCAAGGCGCUCGGUGAUCAGCCGCCGGCUCUCAGCAGACGUCGGGACCGAGGCCCCCAGACCCUGGAGCUCUAUCUGGCGGCUGGCAGCGCCGCGUUCCGGCCGCGCUCGGGUUGAAAUGGUCUCCCUCGCCACGGUGGGGAGCCACUCCCUUUGUUACUAUUAUUCCUAAACGAUUUGUAAACCCGCGCUCUACCUGGGGCGGUUCAGGUUUCCUGCGCUCAGCGCCGCCUUGCGGGAAGUCCUGGUCCUCGCUUCCUCCCGGCCCCUCCACGACGGAAACUCCGGGAGCGGGAGCGCAGCGCAGGGUCUGGGAACUCAAACUUGUGAGGAACGGGGCUGCGAUGGACCGAUCCUCCAGGAGAAGAGGACUGAGGGGCUUGAGGAAAGUGGCCUGCGAAGAGCCUUGUCUACCUCCGCUCUAGCGUCUCCCCCUCGACCGACCUAGGGCUGAAGGAGAGGUGUUGUUUAGACGCUGGAAAGAACUUGCGCGCGCCUCGAGCUGGGAAUGCGCUGUCUUAGGCCCCAGAGUGACCUGGUACCUCCGUCCCUGAGGGUCUGGGCCAGGGAGAGCGCUUUCUGUCCCGAGGUCGGGUGCGCCUUUCCUGGGUCAGGCCCCUAAAAGAAAAAAAGCGGAGUCAGCCUUGGCUGCGGCAGGCGUGGGACGUGUGCCUCAGCACUUU
ensembl:lncRNA